GGAUGACACUAUCAUGAAUCACACGAAAAGAAAAGAGGAUUAUUUAGCAUAUUGAAUAUGAAGUUGUAGAUUCAGGGCAACAUCAAGACGGAUGAACUCCCCCACCAAGCUGUUUAACAAACUGGCUCUCUGUCGAGCUGGCCAUGCCGAGUUAGUAGCAGAUCUGCAAUGAUGCCUCUACCAAGCUCACAAUUAUACAAAUGGUGAAGCAGCAGGAAAGCACAUAGAAGAGGGCUACACAGAAGAUACGAGCUCCAGUCAGGUCAUGACACAAAGCCACAGAACUUAACUGGGAAAUGAGCAAUGCUUAUGUGUCCAGCAUUGUCUUAAUUGGUUUCCCAUGCAGAGAGCUCAAAGAGCAUCCUAUCUGAUAUGCACCAGGCAACAACUGAGAACAAGGACCAGCCAAAGUCAUCAGAAGGGUAGCACAGUUGCUGCUAGCAGCUGCUGUGCCCUGAGGGGUGAGGGAAAUGUGGUCGC
rnacentral:lncRNA from 10 species